rnacentral:lncRNA from 1 species
CUGGCUGUACAGCAUCGUGUUCUACUUCCCGCUCGACCUGUUCAAGUUCUUCAUCCGCUUCGUGCUCAGUGGCAGGGCCUGGGACAACCUCCUUGAGAACAAGGUACUGUACCGCUUCCUCUGUCAUUGGACGGGUAGAUAGACGUAGCUGUAAUUUCCAAAGCAAGUUUGCUGAUGGAUUUCUGAAUUCUGGUGCGCAGACGGCCUUCACCACCAAGAAGGAUUACGGCCGGGAGGAGAGGGAGGCGCAAUGGGCCACCGCCCAGAGGACACUCCACGGUCUCCAGCCGCCGGAGGCCGCCUCGAACACGCUGUUCAACGACAAGAGCAGCUACCGCGAGCUGUCCGAGAUCGCGGAGCAGGCCAAGAGACGAGCUGAGAUCGCGAGGCUGCGGGAGCUGAACACGCUCAAGGGCCACGUGGAGUCGGUGGUGAAGCUCAAGGGGCUGGACAUCGACACCAUCCAGCAGAACUACACGGUGUGAGACACCGCCGGGAUGUCGACGAAACCUUUGCCCGCCCGCCCAGUAUUUGCGAAUGGAGUCAUCUGAUUACUACAGGAAUUUUUCCGGUGAUGAACCAAAACAAAGAAAAAAACCGUGU